rnacentral:rRNA from 1 species
UACAGGGGGUGCAAACGUUGUUCGGAAUUACUGGGCGUAAAGCGCAUGUAGGCGGCCUAGCAGGUCGGAUGUGAAAUCCCUCGGCUCAACCAAGGAAGUGCAUUCGAAACCGCAAGGCUCGAGUCCCGGAGAGGAUGGUGGAAUUCUCGGUGUAGAGGUGAAAUGCGCAGAUAUCGGGAAGAACACCCGUGGCGAAGGCGGUUCUCUGGGACGGUACUGACGCUGAGACGCGAAAGCGUGGGGAGCAAACAGG